rnacentral:rRNA from 1 species
AACGAACGCUGGCGGCAUGCCUAAUACAUGCAAGUCGAACGGAAUGGGGCAACCCAUUUAGUGGCGGACGGGUGAGUAACGCGUGGGAACCUGCCCAUCGGUACGGAAUAACCUCGGGAAAAUGAGGCUAAUACCGUAUGCGCCCCCCAGGGUCACUUGGGGGGGAAAGAUUUAUCGCCGGUGGAGGGGCCCGCGUCGGAUUAGUUAGUUGGUGCGGUAACGGCUCACCAAGCCUGCGAUCCGUAGCUGGUCUGAGAGGAUGAUCAGCCACACUGGGACUGAGACACGGCCCAGACUCCUACGGGAGGCAGCAGUAGGGAAUAUUGGACAAUGGGGGCAACCCUGAUCCAGCAAUGCCGCGUGAGUGAUGAAGGCCUUAGGGUUGUAAAGCUCUUUUGGCAGGGACGAUGAUGACGGUACCUGCAGAGUAAGCCCCGGCUAACUUCGUGCCAGCAGCCGCCGUAA